rnacentral:lncRNA from 1 species
UAAUUGCUCUAGAAAGCCUCAUCUCAAAUUCACACCCCUCUUCCCUAUGUUGAAUCUGAAAUGUCUUCAUGUAUUUAUCGAGAACUAGUGUGAGUAAAUUAGAUGAGGGGUUCUUGUUGCCUUUUCUCAUGCCAUUAAUGUUUAUCUAUAUUUUUCUCUCUCUACUUCUACUCAUCCAAGACAGAAGUCAACAAUGGUGGCAACAAAUUGGUUCACAAUAUGGUUUGCGGAGAAAGGAUUGAUAUCCAGAUGCGCAAAUCAUGCGUCUUCCAUUCAUUGUAUGAAUGAAGAUUAGUGGUCUCGUAUCUGAGUGGCGAUGGUGAAAAUGAGGAUGAUGGUGUCAGAGUAAGGCCUUAAUGAAAGAGUAAGACUAUUAUGGAGGAACAACUUUUGUUGAAAAAAUAAACAGAGUAGAAAGGAUAUAUGAUUAAAGAUGGAAGCUUCUAGGUUUUCAUGAGGGAGAGAAGAGUGAAUCGGGUCAUGGGGUUGGGCUAAAUGGGUAGACCCCAACAAAAUUUGUU